rnacentral:rRNA from 1 species
GACGUAGGGCGCGAGCGUUGUCCGGAUUUAUUGGGCGUAAAGAGCUCGUAGGCGGCUUGUCGCGUCGACUGUGAAAACCCACGGCUCAACUGUGGGCUUGCAGUCGAUACGGGCAGGCUAGAGUUCGGUAGGGGAGACUGGAAUUCCUGGUGUAGCGGUGAAAUGCGCAGAUAUCAGGAGGAACACCGGUGGCGAAGGCGGGUCUCUGGGCCGAUACUGACGCUGAGACGCGAAAGCGUGGGGAGCGAACAGG